UUUCAUCUUGGGUUUUGAUUGAUUUGGAGAGAAAUCAACAAGAACCACAAAUCUAAUCUGAACAAAGGUGCAACAAGGUGACAAGGAAGAUUGAGGUGGAGUGAUUUUGCAUAGGCAGCCUUGGUUUUGUGUUUUUUCUUGAGGUUUGAAGGUAUUAAACUAAGAAACUCUUCUUCCCUUUCUUAUAUUGCAUUUUAUUGGAUAGAUGACUUGAAUAUGGAAAUUUUAUGGAAGAUAUCAUGAAAUUGUGAAGUCGUUAGAAUUUUCCAGCAUUUGGUAGUGAAUCUGUUCUGUUUUUGGACCCAACUGGAACUGCAUAUUCGUCCAUGAUAAAGGCCGAAUCAGGUCUUGUUCAAAAUAUGAAAGUUGUAGGAAAUGGAGGUAACUGUCUGCCUACAAAAUUUCAACUCAAUCAGAGCACUGUAUAGUGUGAAAUGACUAAAAUACCCCUGACUGGCAAAUGCCCUAUUUCGCGGGCAGCUUUCUAUUUUUUCUGAGAUUUCACAUUUUGACCUUGAAAAUGCACGAACCGGGUAUUGAUGUCUUCAUGAAAAUGUAGAUCUCUGCCUUAGCUUCGAAACGCCAUAAAAUUUACCCGAAUCCGAUAAGUGUAACUUCAGUUGUGACUAAAACGCUGAGAGAUGUCAAACCUGCUGCUUAGGCAUUCUUCUUUAAUACUAGUUUUCAUCUUUGGUUUUGAUGGUUUUAUUGUUAGAAUUGACUUGUAAUUAGAUGAUAUUGAGCCUAGUUGAAGAGCUAUCUUGUUAAGCUUGCUUAUAUGUUGAAGUUGGGCUGAGUUGAGGAAAGAAAUGAAGCCCUAAGUGGCUGGAAAAUAGUUAAAUACAAAGGGCAUGCUGCCCAAAUUUCUAUUACUUGCCCUUAUGAAUAUUAGUAAGAUGUAAGAUUUGAUUUUAGGGUUAGUUGAAUCUUAAAUUACAUUUGCUCACUUCAAUUUGGGAUUGGUUAUUCUUAGGGUUUGUCGGUGAUCAAGGGCAUAAUCCGGAAGGAAAUUUUUGACGUUAUUUUGGCUUAGACUGGUGAGUGUUCUUCGUAUGUUGUGCUUCUAAUGCCUAUGUAGAUUGUUGUGAAUGUUUGCUUGAAUGUUAAAUGUUUUCAAUGAUUGUUAAAUGAAUUUUUUACAGGCGAGUGUGUACUUUAUCGCACUCGACCUAAGUUAACGUGAAAUUUUUAAUGAUUAAAUGAUUGAAUGCUACUUGUGCAUGAAUGUAAGUCUCUUGGCUGAACUGGGCCCUUGCCCUUCGUUGCCAGCCGACUCGAGCCAGAAGCGGACUCGGUCGGGCGGUUGGUGACCCUGGGACAGUGUUUUGGUAUACUCGAGUAUGGCCACGAAGAUUGGUGGAGACUGGCCAGUGAAUUGGCUAAUGGCGGGAAAUGAAUAAAUGAAUGAAUGUCAAGAACAUUGGAGGAGUUUUCACUUGCAAAUGUUUUCUAAUGUUGGAGGAAUAAGGAAAAUGGUUGGCGAACGAAUGAACGAAUGGCUCCUCGUGAGCAUGUAUCCUCUUAAUGAGUGGGUUAUUAUUGCUUUUAUAUGUAAAAUGUUUUCUGGAUUAUUUGCUAUUAAAUGAUUAAUGUCCUGGAUUUAAUUGCUCGAUUAUGUGUAUGAAAUCUCACUGGACUUUUAACUCAUUUCUUUAGUUUUGUCUUCCUUACAGGGGAUACGAGCGAGGCGUGAGACUUGUACAGGCUAGCGUAGUCUAGUUUUUUGUAUUUUGAAAUUUCACUAGCGCUAGUGCUUUACUAGGGUUGGUUGCACCUGGAUUGUAAACACCUUGAUAUAUUUGGGUGUGUAUAAGCCUUGUAGCUGGAUUUGAGCAUCAGUGUAUAUGUUAAGCUUGGAAUCGUUGUUUUAUUUCUUUUCUAUGGUUGUAAGUUCUUUUCUCGAGUUAAACGUGAGUGAGUCCUGACGAGAGUUGGGCAGGCGACUCACUAAACCCUAGGAUACGCCCUAGGGGGAGGUGGGGUCAUCACAAAAGACCAUAAUUUUGAUUACUUGCACACUACAAUGUGUCUU
rnacentral:lncRNA from 1 species